UGUUUGGUUUGACCACUGCUCAUUUCUCCCUUUCGCCUUCGUGCCACUGUCUCUCUCUCUCUCCCAUUUUUACUAUUCUUCUCAUCUCUUUUUUCUCUCCCUCAAAACUCUCUCUCACUUAGCUUUUGCAAUUUGCCAUAUUUGACUUGUUGAGCCUCUAAUCAGGCACUCCAGGAUUCGUUUUGCUUAGCUCAAUUCGUCUACAGGGACUUGUAUGAGCUGCUUUUUCAAGAAUUCAAAUUUAUCAGUGCAGCUAUAGAUAAUUUGCGCACGAAUGGGCUGUUUCACAGUUUUAAAAAGUAAAAAG